rnacentral:rRNA from 1 species
UACGUAGGGUGCGAGCGUUGUCCGGAAUUAUUGGGCGUAAAGAGCUCGUAGGCGGCCUGUCGCGUCCGCUGUGAAAUCCCGGGGCUUAACCCCGGGCGUGCAGUGGAUACGGGCUGACUCGAGUCCGGUAGAGGAGCGUGGAAUUCCCGGUGUAGCGGUGAAAUGCGCAGAGAUCGGGAGGAACGACCCGUAGCCGAAGGCGGAGCGCUCUGGGCCGGUACUGACGCUGAGGAGCGAAAGCGUGGGGAGCAAACAGG